rnacentral:rRNA from 1 species
GACGAACCGUACAAACGUUAUUCGGAAUCACUGGGCUUAAAGGGUGCGUAGGCUGCGCGGUAAGUUGGGUGUGAAAGCCCUCGGCUCAACCGAGGAACUGCGCUCAAAACUACCGUGCUGGAGGGAGACAGAGGUGAGCGGAACUCAGGGUGGAGCGGUGAAAUGCGUUGAUAUCCUGAGGAACACCGGUGGCGAAGGCGGCUCACUGGGUCUCUUCUGACGCUGAGGCACGAAAGCCAAGGUAGCAAACGGGAUUAGAUGCCCCGGUAGUCUUGGCUGUAAACGAUGAGCACUUGAUUGAAGGGUCCUCCAUAGCCUUUCAGUCGUAGCGAAAGUGUUAAGUGCUCCGCCUGGGGAGUAUGGUCGCAAGGCUG